rnacentral:rRNA from 1 species
AAUCAACGCUGGCGGCGUGCCUCAGACAUGCAAGUCGAACGCGAUUCAGUCUUUCGGGAUUGGAUUGAGUGGCGCACGGGUGAGUAACACGUAGGUAAUCUACCUUUGGGUGGGGAAUAACAGCCGGAAACGGCUGCUAAUACCGCAUAAUGCAGCGGCUCGACAUCGAGACAGUUGUUAAAGCGGGGGAUCGAAAGACCUCGCGCCAGAAGAGGAGCCUGCGGCAGAUUAGCUAGUUGGUGAGGUAAGGGCUCACCAAGGCGACGAUCU